AUGGCGGAGACCAAUAGUUCGCAGGGGAGACAGGGGAAGGAAUCUGCGGAAGAAUUGCUAGCCUGAUUAACAUUGCAGGAAGAGGAAGAGGAUGAGUUCAUAUGGGAAGAGGAGCUGCCGGACAUGGCGGAACUGGCGAAGUGGUUGGCAAUUGCUCGAGUCCACAGACCUAAGACGUUCAGCACUAAUGUGCUGUACAAUGACAUGCGUGCUGCAUGGAACCCUGCUAAACAGGUAGUAUGGAGGAAGGUAAAGGCCAAUCUGUUCACGGCACAGUUUGGGUGUCUAGGUGAUUGGAACAAGGCCAUGCUGGAGGGGCCGUGGCUAUUCAGGGAGCAGGCAAUGAUCAUGGAGGAAUAUGAUGGGUUCAAAAAUCCUGACGCUUUUGAGCUAGACAAGCUCUCUGUCUGGGCACAGAUUCAUCGUUUGCCAGACAAAUUCUUGAUCGAGCCAGCUGUUAAAGGGCUGACAUCGAGGAUUGGUGAGGUGGAGGAAGUGCAACUGAAGCUGCCAGCGGGUUUCUUUGGAGAAUUUGUAAGGGUAAAAGUGAAGAUAGACAUCAAUGCUAAGAUCAAGCGUUUUGUUACUGCCAAGAAGGGAGAAGAGAGCGUCAGGUAUCAGGUAAAAUAUGACAAGCUUCCAACCUUUUGCUAUAACUGUGGCGAGUUUGGUCAUUGA
rnacentral:rRNA from 1 species